UGGUAAAGUAGUAUUUCCCCGUUUUUACUGAAAGAAAAAAAAGAUUAAGAGAGUUAAUGAAUAUUAAUAACCAUAUGUACUCACCUAUGAAAUGACAUUGCACAUGGGAUGUUCUCUCUCCUUUCCAAGGCAAGUGAGAGAAGUGGGAGAUGGAGGAGUCAACAUGGCAGAAAAGAGAGAGAAGAUGGAAGUGAGGAAACAGAAGUAGACAGAAAUUUGAUAAGAAGGGAAAAGUGACCAUGCAGAUGUAGAAGACAGAUGGAGUGCAAAGGAGGAAGGAAUACACACAUGCGAGGCCAGCACUAUAGCCCAACAGACUGCAGUAAGCCAGCCAGGCUGGGGGCCUGCCCAACAGGAGCAGCAUUCUGCCAAGGGGAGGGGGAGAGGCCUGGAGGACGGAGG
rnacentral:lncRNA from 1 species